rnacentral:rRNA from 1 species
GGAUCAAUUUAUCGGUCGUGCAAUAGUACGUACUGGUUUUAUUGGUUCCUACCUUCCUGAUGAACCAUGAUGCCAUUAAUUUGGUGUCAUGGGGAAUCAGGACUGUUACUUUGAAAAAUUAGAGUGUUUAAAGCAGGCUCACGCUUGAAUACAUUAGCAUGGAAUAAUGAAAUAGGACGUUUGAUUCUAUUUUGUUGGUUUCUAGGAUCGACGUAAUGAUUAAUAGGGAUAGUUGGG